CCUGCCUGGAAUUGAAGACAAGCAGCUAAAGGCCUCUGGGUUGGGGGCUGUUCUGGUCUGGGAUAGGGUCCUCAGGACCAGGCUGGAUCUCUGGUCAGGUGUUGGGGAAGCUCCUACCAUUGCCUGCGGGGAUGAAGGAUGGCCAAGCCAGCACGGAGAACCACAGUGAGCCCAGUGCAGUGCUGGGAGGGAGGAGAGCAGGGCACCCUCCUGCUGAUAAAGGCGCCUCUCAUUAGAACUAAUGAGAGUCUUUCAACAGGAAUUCCACACCCUUUGACCAGAGGCAGAAGAGCACACGGGCCCAGGAAGAAUGGAAGGGCUGGGGUGCUCCUGGCAGGACAGGGAUGCUCUCCCAGCCCACACUCAGGCAGUUGUGCUCUUUUCCAAGGCCAGGAGGCUCAUUUGUGUGUUUGGCUUACAUCGCUGCCUUCGGGGAGCACCCACCUUUGUCCCAGCUUGCAGGAACUCUUCCGAGCUCAGCUGGAAAGAUCAGAAAGAUCUGCCCUGAGCAGCAGCGGCUGCCUCCGCUCCAGCUGUGUUUGCCUUCACAGAGCUAAGGAUCUGGUACAAAGCAG